rnacentral:lncRNA from 1 species
GCUGUUUGCCACUUCUGGGAUUCCUUAUCAUUUGAUCUUUACUAUAGUGUGAUCAAACUGUUCAACCAAUUGUGAGGCAUCCAGUAUCAGUAAAUUUUGUUUCUUUUCUGGGCAGGCAGGCUUUCCAAAGAUUACUUUUCUAAUCUCUGUCCUAAAAGAUCCAGUCCUUCUAGGACCUUAGAACCUUACUAAUGUUCUUCUGGAACUGAAUAAAGGAAGAGACUUAGGAUAGUGGGAUCUUAGCAUUAAGGAUUAAGUUCAUUUAUUUUCUCUAUUUCAAUAUAAAUGAAAUUUAUACUGUCAGGUACUUACUCCUGAACCAGGUUUCAGUUUCAUCUUCAUCAUAGAAUAUGUAUCCUGUCUAUUGGUGCAACUGAGAAACAAUCUAAACAGCUCAUAGGAAAUCUUCUUCUUUUAAAAGUAUCUGUUUUAAUUUCUAUACUGAGAAACACCUUAUGGCACCAAAUCUUAAGAUGUUUGAGACUUUUAAUGAAACAAUGUAGAGAGAUUCCCAUCUUUUCUCAAUUACCAGUUUAGAAUUCAGCUUUAAUUCAGGUACAACAUAUCCAUCUCCUAACUUUCAAAUUUUGUGGUUGCUUUUAGUCUAUUGUCUACUUCCCUAGAUUCUUGUAGUUUUAUGCCUGGAAAACUUCCUUUAAAAUUUUUAAAGGAAGGGAAAUUGUAUUCAAUUAUAAUGCACAAGUCUUACACAUAAUUAAAAUGUUUAUAUCAACCCAUUAAAGAACCAGAAGCAAUUUAACAGAACUAUUAAUAUAAAAAGUUAGAAACAUGUGUUAAAGAAAAUUAACAUGUUAUCUUUAUUUUAAAAAAAAUAAAUUUUCUAUAAGUUAGGUUGUCUUUUAGCUCUAAUACAAAUCCUUUCUAAAUAUUUUAUUAUAUCAGAAGAAAUUGUGGCUUGCCUUCUUUACACAGGCUACAUUCUAAGUUAAGUAUAUAUAUUUUUUUCCCAUUUUAUUUGUAUUCUGAUAAUGUAGUAGGAAUUUAAGUGGUAAUUACAGUGAUUAUAAAGUCAAUAAAAAUCAAACUUUAACACAAUGCAAUCUCAAUUCUUUCAAAAAAAGAGCAGGUAUCUCCUCCAGUCGGUUAAAGAGUUUUGAUUAUUUUAACAAUUGGGAGUUGUAGGUAUGUGUUAUAAACUAUAUGGCAACCUAUUACCAUUUUCUGAGUAAAAUAACAAUAGGGAAUUACAGAAAAAAUAAUUUUAAACUCAACAUAAAAUGUAUUGUACAUUAUAAAGCCUAUUCCCUUGUUAAUAUAAAAGCAUACUUGCUUUCAUAUGUCCAUGUAAAUCAGGUGUAAUUCAACGUAUUCUUAAAAUUUUAAUAAGAUCAACUCAUUUCCAGAAACUAUUGUGACAUUUCAUUUGCUUUUCAGAUAAAUCAACAAAAGUAGCAGCGCCUUGGAGUAUCAUAGCUCUGGUUUAUUUCAGAUGAAGAAUGAUCAUUCAGCUACUGAUAUAUUCAUCAAAUCUAUUUGCAUUUUUUGGCUGGAGUAAUGAUCUAGCAAUAUUUUUCCUACAUAACACACUAUAAAGAUGGAGUAUUGAAAACUAAAAUCAUGAGAUGAAAAAUUUCAAAUUGUUACCUUGAAACUUUAAUCUUCUAAAAGUUGAACAGAUAUAUGUACUUAAAAUAGCAUUUCUAAAAUAUUUCUUGAGAUAAUGAGAAGGCACUUCAGAAAACAGAAUAGCCCUAUUAAAUCAGAUCAGAUACUGAACAAUGAUCUAGUUAAAUGAAGUCUUCAACACCCACAAAAGAACUAGAUUAUAGGAACCUACCACAUUCUGAGUCAGUGUGGUUUGUUAAUGCAAAGUAUUUCAGCUUAAAUUUUUUGUACUAAUUUCUAUCUCUAUAUCAACUUUUCCCAUUGUCAAGGUAAAAGGGGAAUUUGGUGGUAAAUAUAUGUCCUUAGAUUAACAAAAUAAACAACAAUGACUAAACUUUCAGUAAAAGAGUAAAGGAAUGAAGUGAGAGGAAUUUAAAAGAAUGUACAGCUAUAUUUUAAAAUGUAUAUUGGAAAUAAGGAUUAAUUAAUUAAAGUAUUAAUUGAUUAAAGUAUUCUAUUUUGUAAGCCCUUAAUUAUGUUAAUUAUUAUAUUUCAUUUGAUAAAUUAGAUUUCAAAUCAAAAGAGUGUCAG